GUGAGCCUAAGACAUGGCUUAAUAAAAGGAGUCCCAGUAUGUGAAGUGGGGAGGUACUGCUUCUGAGAAACUUAGUUUCUUCAGAUUGGGUUUGGCAGUCCCACACAAUAUGAAGGCGUGUGAGAGAGAGAAUCAGUCUGCUAGCGUACUAUAUUGGAC